CCUGGUUGAUCCUGCCAGUCGUCAUAUGCUUAUCUCAAAGAUUAAGCCAUGCAUGUCUAAGUAUAAAUAAUUUUGUACUGUGAAACUGCAAAUGGCUGAUUACAUCAGUUAUAGUUUGUUUCAUAGUACCUUACUACUUGGAUAACCAUGGUAAUUCUAGAGCUAAUACAUGCAAAAAAUCCCGACUUCUGAAAGGGAUGUAUUUAUCAGAUAAAAAACCAACCCUUCGGGUAUUUUGGUGAUUCAUGAUGACUUUUCGAAUCGUAUGACAUUGCGUCGAUGAUGGUUCAUCCAAAUUUCUGCCCUACACCUUUUGAGGAUAGAGGCCUACUAUAGUUUCAACGAGUAACAGAGAAUUAGAGUUCAAUUCCAGAGAUGGAGCCUGAAAAACGGCUACCACAACCAAGGAAGGCAGAAGACGCGCAAAUUACCCAAUCCUGAUACAGGGAGGCAGUGACAAUAAAUAACAAGACAGGGCUCUAUAAGUCUUGUAAUUGGACUGAGUACAAUUUAAAUCCCUUAACGAGGAACAAUUGGAGAGCAAGUCUAGUGCCAGCGGCUCCAAUAGCGUAUAUUAAAGUUGUUGCAGUUAAAAGGUGCGUAGUUGAAUUUUGGGACUGGUCGAGUGUUCUUGCCGCAAGGUAAGCGCUGCACUGAUCGGGUCUUUCCUUCUGGAUAACCGGUGCGCACUUUAAUGGGCACAUCAGAGAAAAACAGGUCUUUUACUUUAGAAUAAUUAGAGUGUUUAAAGCAGGCAUACGCUUGAAUACAUUAGCAUGAACAAUAGAAUAGGACUUUGUUUUUUUUAGAACCGAAGUAAUGAUUAAUAGGGAUAGUUGGGGGCAUUAGUAUUUAAUUGUCAGAGGUGAAUUUCUUGCAUUUAUGAAAGACUAGCUUCUGCGAAAGCAUUUGCCAAGGAUGUUUUCAUUAAUCAAGGACAAAAGUUAGGGCAUCAAACACAAUCAAAUACCGUGGUAGUCUUAACCAUAAACUAUGCUGACUAGGGAUCGCACAAUGUUAAUAUUUGACUUGUCCGGCACCUUAUGAGAAAUCAAUGUUAUUGGGUUGCGGGGGGAGUACGGUCGAAAGGCUGAAACUUAACGGAAUUGACGGAAGGGCACCACCAGGAGUGCAGCCUGCAUCUUAAUUUGACUAAACACUCGGAAACUCACCAGGUCCAGACAUAGUAAGGAUUGACAGAUUGAUAGCUGUUUCUUGAUUGUAUGGGUGGCGCUCCUCGUUGGUGGAGUAAAUCGUCUGGUUAAUUCCGUUCACUAAAGAGAUCUUAACCUGCUAAUUAGUGACAUCAACCUUGGAUGCUUAACUUCUCAGAGGGACUACGGAUGUUUUUUUCCAUAUACGUUUGAGACAAUAACAUGUCUGUGAUGCCCUUAGAUGUUCUGGGCCGCACGCACGCUACACUGAUGAAGGCAGCAAGUAUUCAACCUUGGCUGGAGUCUGGGUAAUCUUCCGAAACUUCUUCGUAAUGGGGAUAGUCCUUUGCAAUUAUUAGAUUUCAACAAGGAAUUCCUAGUAAGCGCGAGUCAACAGCUCGGGUAGAUUACGUCCCUGCCCUUUGUACACACCGCCUGUUGCUACUACCAAUUGAAUGGUUUUGUAGACCCUCGGAUUGGCUGUCCAUUCCCGGCAACGGGAAAUGGUAGGUGAAAAGUUGGUCGAACGUUGUCAUAUAGAGGAAGUAAAAGUCGUAAAAAGGGAACCGUAGGUGAACCUGCAGUCC
rnacentral:rRNA from 1 species